rnacentral:rRNA from 1 species
GAUGAACGCUGGCGGCGUGCCUAAUACAUGCAAGUCGAGCGAACGGACGAGAAGCUUUCUUCUCUGAUGUUAGCGGCGGACGGGUGAUUAACACGUGGAUAACCUACCUAUAAGACUGGGAUAACUUCGGGAAACCGUAUCUAAUACCGGAUAAUAUUUUGAACCGCAUGGUUCAAGAGUGAGAGACGGUCUUUCUGUCACUUAUAGAUGGAUCCGCGCUGCAUUAGCUAGUUGGUAAGGUAACGGCUUACCAAGGCAACGAUGCAUACCCGACCUGAGAGGGAGAUCGGACACACGGGAACUGAGACACGGUCCAGACUCCUACGGGAGGCAGCAGUAGGGAAUCUUACGCAAUGGGCGAAAGCCUGACGGAGCAACGCCGCGUGAGUGAUGAAGGUCUUCGGAUCGUAAAACUCUGUUAUUAGGGAAGAACAUAUGUGUAAGUAACUGUGCACAUCUUGACGGUACCUAAUCAGAAAGCCCCGGCUAACUACGUG